rnacentral:rRNA from 1 species
UACGAAGGGGGCUAGCGUUGUUCGGAAUUACUGGGCGUAAAGCGCACGUAGGCGGCCAUUCAAGUCGGGGGUGAAAGCCUGUGGCUCAACCACAGAAUUGCCUUCGAUACUGUUUGGCUUGAGUUUGGUAGAGGUUGGUGGAACUGCGAGUGUAGAGGUGAAAUUCGUAGAUAUUCGCAAGAACACCAGUGGCGAAGGCGGCCAACUGGACCAAUACUGACGCGUGAGGCGGCGAAAAGCGUGGGGAGCAAACAGG